rnacentral:rRNA from 1 species
UAGGGAAUCUUCCGCAAUGGGCGAAAGCCUGACGGAGCAACGCCGCGUGAGUGAUGAAGGUCUUCGGAUCGUAAAACUCUGUUAUUAGGGAAGAACAAAUGUGUAAGUAACUAUGCACGUCUUGACGGUACCUAAUCAGAAAGCCACGGCUAACUACGUGCCAGCAGCCGCGGUAAUACGUAGGUGGCAAGCGUUAUCCGGAAUUAUUGGGCGUAAAGCGGGCGUAGGCGGUUUUUUAAGUCUGAUGUGAAAGCCCACGGCUCAACCGUGGAGGGUCAUUGGAAACUGGAAAACUUGAGUGCAGAAGAGGAAAGUGGAAUUCCAUGUGUAGCGGUGAAAUGCGCAGAGAUAUGGAGGAACACCAGUGGCGAAGGCGACUUUCUGGUCUGUAACUGACGCUGAUGUGCGAAAGCGUGGGGAUCAAACAGG